GAUGAAGAACGUAGCGAAAUGCGAUAAGUAGUGUGAAUUGCAGAAUUCAGUGAAUCAUCGAAUCUUUGAACGCACAUUGCGCCCCUUGGUAUCCCGAGGGGCAUGCCUGUUCGAGCGUCAUUUCUCCACUCAAGCCUGGCUUGGUGUUGGGCGACGUCCUCUUUGGGGACGCGCCUCGAAACGCUCGGCGGCGUGGCACCGGCUUUAAGCGUAGCAGAAUCUUUCGCUUUGGAAGUCGGGGCCCCGUCUGCCGGAAGACCUGCUCGCAAGGUUGACCUCGGAUCAGGCAGGGAUACCCGCUGAACUUAAGCAUAUCAAUAAGCGGAGGA
rnacentral:misc_RNA from 1 species